GCACUGAGUCAGCAGUCACACUAGCACUGAUGCAGCCCUGAUUUUGCUUUAUCUCAGCACAGUGCUGCAUGUGUGAACCUUCCUUAAUCUGCAAGGAGUGGAACCUGCACUCAAGGUCUGGAAGUUAAUAUAAACAGAAUAACAAAAGGAUCCGUUUUUAUUUAGAAUCAGUUAACCUUCUUGAAAGGUAUGCAUUAUCCACUGCAACUCUGCACAGCACUCCCAGGUUCAACAGAGUGCUUCAUUUUAACGUCUAAUCUCCCCCAGAAAACUACUCAAACUAGAUUUUUGAAGCUGACUACGUCAUUUUCUGAAACACAAUUCGUCGGCGAUAUACAAGAGGAAAAUUAAGAAGACUAUGAAACAAUACUGAGUGAGAGUCUUACUAGCUGCUUAUUGCUUCAUAAAAGAAGUAGCACGCACGGAUAGGAAGCCAGAAACACGAGUUUCGCCACUAAACUUAAAAAACGAAACAACCACUGUUUCUUUAUUUUUUGGGGAAAUUUUUGCAAUUAUGUUGCUACGAUCUGACAAGUUCCACGCUGUGCAAGCCAUGUCAUGGCCAUGUCAACUUGUGCUCUGCACUGAUAAUAUGUCGGUAAAAAUUUGGGUUUAUGAGUGUGAUGAAUUAGUGUGGCAACACAAGUAUCUGAACUUGAAGAAAGUAGGGAGCACUGUCUCCCUGUACCAUAAGCAUUGCAAACUCGGGUGAGUAAUCGUAAUGAACAUUGGCAACACUAGCUGGUGAAAAAACACGCAACAGCCUGGUCUGGCCAAGCAUUGAGAUUAUUUGCUGCUCGCUUUUCUACGGUGUUUUCUGUAACAUUUAGUGCAAAAAGUUGAAAAUGAAUUUGUGUCUCCUAUUUUAUGAACAACAGAGAUUAUGUCCCAACAGUCUCUAGGGAAAUUGAGAAGACAAAAAAAAUUUCAUGGUUUAAUUGGGGUGACGUACCGGGCUCAUAGUAAUCCUGGAGCGUCACGGUGGCUGGGACUGCAUUUUCCACAACAUAAUCUUGAACCAACUCCAGCAAUGCACAGGAUUUGCGAUUGCUCAACUGAAAAAGCUCCUGCCAAUACAACUCCUUGAGCAAUGCAACAAGCUUGCUCCUCUAAACAGACGCACCAUGAAGAAGCGCCCACCUUUUCAAAACGGUAUCCAGACUGCAUUUUGACUUGAACGAUAACCAUGCCAGACAUGGCCCAGGAAACAAGCACAGUGGGUACGACGGGCAGAAAAAGCUCCUGCUUGAGAAGAGCAUUCUCUCGAUUCACGGUCAACGUGGAGCCCAGGCCUUCGGAAGAAACCCGAAUCUGCAGUCGCGUGUCAGAACUGCUGGUCGCCUUGGCAUACUCUGCCAGCGCCUGAAGUGCCACCACUGUAUCCUGCAUUGCCGUCAAGAGGAGGAGGUGCGUUAAUGCACCUUCCUUUGGGUACGCUGUAGGCAGCGUGUUGGCAUGCUAGCUUGGGUUCUUCUUAACAUACGCUUAAAGCCAAAAGAACAGUUCACUUCUCGCACAAAAAGUGAGCUCGGAAAAAAACAUGAGAAAUAAACAGACGGAAAAACUUCAUCUUCAAUCGCAAAGUCAAAUUGGGGGCUUUUACGUGUCGAUCCAACGAAGGGGAUCUGGCGCACCCCAGUCAGUGGAGGAUUGGGGGUUACUUUUGACCAACUGCAUCUUCUGACACGCAAAACCAAAAUCAAGGUUACAUGGCGACUUCUCCACUAUAGGCCUCAGUCAGACGGUGGGCACCUCGGUCGGGAUAUUGGGACCUCACAACUGAGCUUCCGUAAACUGACGAGGCAGCUCGUAAGUAUGCCGGGGAACUAGAGCAUGCCAGCAUUAAACGGUUAAGAAGGAGUACACCACUCUGCAACCAGAAGGAAGCGAGAGGCAACACGUGCCUGAGUUGACAC